GCUCAGGAUGAACGCUGGCGGCGUGCUUAACACAUGCAAGUCGAGCGAAGCACUCUGCUUUGAUUCUUUCGGGAUGAAGAGCAUUGUGACUGAGCGGCGGACGGGUGAGUAACGCGUGGGUAACCUGCCUCAUACAGGGGGAUAACAGUUAGAAAUGGCUGCUAAUACCGCAUAAGACCACAGCACCGCAUGGUGCGGGGGUAAAAACUCCGGUGGUAUGAGAUGGACCCGCGUCUGAUUAGCUAGUUGGUGGGGUAACGGCCUACCAAGGCGACGAUCAGUAGCCGACCUGAGAGGGUGACCGGCCACAUUGGGACUGAGACACGGCCCAAACUCCUACGGGAGGCAGCAGUA
rnacentral:rRNA from 1 species